AUUCUCUAGUGGGAGUUAUGUAAGUAAUUUUUUGAUCUAAGAUCACUAUGGUAUCUUGUGUAUAUGAAUCCAAGUUUUGAUUUACUUCCUAACUUCAUUCUCUGAUUCUUAUGUGGGGUGUUCUGGAUGUGGUGAAGUGUGCAUGGAGGUUGUGAGUGAUCAAUAAGAGAUUAGUGACUCUUAAUAAGGAAAGCGAACAUCCUAUGUGAUCUCAUAGAUUAAUGAUUCUGAAAGUCUUUGGCCAAAGCAGGAUGAUAAUUAGAAAGAGAUUUUUAAUGUAUCAUCAACUGAAUCAUCACCUUCUGAUCGAGAUACAUAUAGAUAAGUAAUUGAGUUUGACAUGAUUCCAUAUCCAUAACUCAUCUGGGAUGUUGUUUGACUGAAAGAUUGAAUUAUACGAUAAUUUAUCACUGAAAAGUAUUUUGAUAAUUUCUACUAAAAUUUUAAAUCUUCUGGAUAGUCAUAAUAUAUUGCUAGAUAUCAAUCUUGACUUGUAGACUAAUCAAAAUUAAAAAAAAUUUAAUUCAAAAAUUAAUUAGAAAGAGUCCUAGUUGAUUGGGACACUUGAGCCGACUUAAUCUGAUUGGAUUAUGUUAGGUCAAGAGUUUAUGUCCACUGCUGGCUAGAUUUGGAACUCAAUAGGUCACACACAUUGAGAUUUGAUCUCAGUCUAAUUUAAUUAAAAUUUAAUGUAAAUCUUAGGAGUUAAUUUGAUAUGCUAGCACAUCGUGUUAGUUGAAAAAAGUGCAGGGUUUCAUGCAUGAUUUCAAAAUAAUUUUAAAAUAUAAUACAGCGAAAUAUAUAAAUUAAAUAAUUUAAUAUAUAAAUACAUGUAAUCAGAUUACUAAAUCCUAUAAUUAGGAUCUAUAACAUAUCAUAUUACAUUUAUAAAUCAAAAAAUAAAAGCUUUGGUAUUGAUCAAAUAAAUACCCUAGAUGUAAAACAGUUUUAGAUCUAAAACUUAGAUCACAUCUAGAUAAGAGAAGAGAUCAGAUCUCUUACCUUCAUGUAGGUCGAGAACUCUGUGGUUAAUUUUUUUUGUUGUCUUUAGAGCCGCACACGCGUUCGGCCUCUAUAGGUGAUCCACACGAGGCUACAAUAAAAUCGGACGUUCGUCGAACGAAGAUCCGCUCGAAGUGCUAGCUUCUUGUAGAUCCCUCCGAAUAGUUAAUCUAAAAAAUAUUCUUUGAAUCUCUUGGACAUUCCAUGAGAUGAAGAAUAUGAGGAGGAAUGAGGAAGAAGUCAAACCUUUUGACCUUCCUAAAAUCAGAAAUAAUAAUAUAAAAGAAAAGGUCCUAAGAGAAGACAGAUCUUCUCUUACCUUUCUCUCUACAAGAUAUCAACCUUUGAUCUUUUAAUUGAAGACUCUCCUCUAAGGAUAAUAAUACUGCCUCAAACCACCCAUGCCAUCCUCUUUCUCCUUUGUUAUUUCUAUCUUAAAGUCACAAAUUUUUGACUCUUAUUUGAUAGCAUAUGGGGCGGCAACUUUUUAUAUGGCAAAUUAGGUCAAAAGACCUAAUCAACAAGGAGUCCAUGGGGCGUCCAACUCUUGGAUGCCCCCUCCCUUAUAAAUUUCAUAGAGAUCAGGAUAAGAUGCUUAAAAGGGGUGACAAAAUUAUAGGAUAGGCUUGGGAAAAGUUGGCGCAAGAGAGGAGGGAAGAGUCCUUGUGAAGAAGGACUCUUUCAAAAAAAAAUAAGCCUAAACCACUUUCCACAUUGAACCAAAUCAAAUCUGAUUCAAAUCUCUAGAAUAAGUGGUGUGAGAUAACAUUCCUUAGACAUGGAUAUCAUAAAAAAAUAUUUAAAAAUUAAUUAGUGGGCGUGGGCUUGAGAUUUCUUAGGUGGCA
rnacentral:lncRNA from 1 species